rnacentral:lncRNA from 1 species
UUUGUUUUACUAUUAUAAUAGCUUUUAUUAUUAUUAUUAUUGCAGCACACGCAGAAACAAACUGUAAGAUAACACCUUACUUGUUACAGGACAUUUUAAGAAAAAAUGGUGGGUUGAAACUGAUUUUUCUAGCCAAACCUCGCGUUAACAUUGAAAAACUUACGUGUGUUACUAUGAAAUUCUACAAAUGUCUUGAUAUUUUGUUAAGAUCGAGUUGCCGUUCCAUUGACGUAUACCCAUCUUCUCCCUAGUUUGAUAUUAUUCGAACACACACACCAAC